rnacentral:misc_RNA from 1 species
GAUGAAGAACGUAGCGAAAUGCGAUAAGUAAUGUGAAUUGCAGAAUUCAGUGAAUCAUCGAAUCUUUGAACGCACAUUGCGCCCGCCAGUAUUCUGGCGGGCAUGCCUGUUCGAGCGUCAUUUCAACCAUCAAGCCCCCGGCUUGUGUUGGGGACCUGCGGCUGCCGCAGGCCCUGAAAACCAGUGGCGGGCUCGCUAGUCACUCCGAGCGUAGUAAUACAUCUCGCUCAGGGCGUGCUGCGGGUUCCGGCCGUUAAAAGCCUUAUUUUACCCAAGGUUGACCUCGGAUCAGGUAGGAAGACCCGCUGAACUUAAGCAUAUCAAUAAGUGGAGGA